rnacentral:rRNA from 1 species
GAUGAACGCUAGCGGCAGGCCUAAUACAUGCAAGUCGAACGGGAUCCAGAUCAAAGCUUGCUUUGGUCUGGUGAGAGUGGCGCACGGGUGCGUAACGCGUGAGCAACCUACCCUUGUCAGGGGGAUAGCCCGGCGAAAGUCGGAUUAAUACCGCAUGACAUCAUUGAGAGGCAUCUUUCGAUGAUCAAAGAUUUAUCGGACAAGGAUGGGCUCGCGUGACAUUAGCUAGUUGGUAAGGUAACGGCUUACCAAGGCUGCGAUGUCUAGGGGCUCUGAGAGGAGAAUCCCCCACACUGGUACUGGGACACGGACCAGACUCCUACGGGAGGCAGCAGUAAGGAAUAUUGGUCAAUGGACGGAAGUCUGAACCAGCCAUGCCGCGUGCAGGAAGACGGCCCUAUGGGUUGUAAACUGCUUUUAUACGGGAACAAACGUCGGUACGUGUACCGGUCUGAGUGUACCGUAAGAAUAAGGAUCGGCUAACUCCGUG